GACGGAGGUCCCGAGCGUUGUUCGGAAUUAUUGGGCUUAAAGCGCGUGUAGGCGGAGCGGUAAGUACCUUGUGAAAUCCCCGGACUCAAUCCGGGAACUGCUUGGUAUACUGCCGUUCUCGAGGCAGGUAGGGGUCACUGGACCUUAGGUGGAGCGGUGAAAUGCGUAGAUAUCGUCUGGAACGCCAAAGGUGAAAACAGCUCGCUGGGGAUGUGCCGACGCUGAGAUACGAAAGCCAGGGGAGCGAACGGG
rnacentral:rRNA from 1 species